UCGUCACACUAUCAUUAACUGAAUCCAUAGGUUAAUGAGGCGAACCGGGGGAACUGAAACAUCUAAGUACCCCGAGGAAAAGAAAUCAACCGAGAUUCCCCCAGUAGCGGCGAGCGAACGGGGAGGAGCCCAGAGCCUGAAUCAGCAUGUGUGUUAGUGGAAGCGUCUGGAAAGGCGCGCGAUACAGGGUGACAGCCCCGUACACAAAAGCGCAUGUGCUGUGAGCUCGAUGAGUAGGGCGGGACACGUGGUAUCCUGUCUGAAUAUGGGGGGACCAUCCUCCAAGGCUAAAUACUCCUGACUGACCGAUAGUGAACCAGUACCGUGAGGGAAAGGCGAAAAGAACCCCGGCGAGGGGAGUGAAAAAGAACCUGAAACCGUGUACGUACAAGCAGUGGGAGCACCCUUCGGGGUGUGACUGCGUACCUUUUGUAUAAUGGGUCAGCGACUUAUAUUCUGUAGCAAGGUUAACCGUAUAGGGGAGCCGGAGGGAAACCGAGUCUUAAUUGGGCGUUAAGUUGCAGGGUAUAGACCCGAAACCCGGUGAUCUAGCCAUGGGCAGGUUGAAGGUUGGGUAACACUAACUGGAGGACCGAACCGACUAAUGUUGAAAAAUUAGCGGAUGACCUGUGGCUGGGGGUGAAAGGCCAAUCAAACCGGGAGAUAGCUGGUUCUCCCCGAAAGCUAUUUAGGUAGCGCCUCGUGAAUUCAUCUCCGGGGGUAGAGCACUGUUUCGGCUAGGGGGCCAUCCCGGCUUACCAACCCGAUGCAAACUGCGAAUACCGGAGAAUGUUAUCACGGGAGACACACGGCGGGUGCUAACGUCCGUCGUGAAGAGGGAAACAACCCAGACCGCCAGCUAAGGUCCCAAAGUCAUGGUUAAGUGGGAAACGAUGUGGGAAGGCCCAGACAGCCAGGAUGUUGGCUUAGAAGCAGCCAUCAUUUAAAGAAAGCGUAAUAGCUCACUGGUCGAGUCGGCCUGCGCGGAAGAUGUAACGGGGCUAAACCAUGCACCGAAGCUGCGGCAGCGAACGUAUCACCCAAGACAACUUUACGGAGUUGACGAUUGACGGAGCGAAGCGACGUCAAAGCGUUCAUUAAAGUCGAGUUGGCUUAGGGAUACGUUCGUUGGGUAGGGGAGCGUUCUGUAAGCCUGUGAAGGUGUGUCGUGAGGCAUGCUGGAGGUAUCAGAAGUGCGAAUGCUGACAUAAGUAACGAUAAAGCGGGUGAAAAGCCCGCUCGCCGGAAGACCAAGGGUUCCUGUCCAACGUUAAUCGGGGCAGGGUGAGUCGACCCCUAAGGCGAGGCCGAAAGGCGUAGUCGAUGGGAAACGGGUUAAUAUUCCCGUACUUGGUGUUACUGCGAAGGGGGGACGGAGAAGGCUAUGUUGGCCGGGCGACGGUUGUCCCGGUUUAAGCGUGUAGGUGUGUGUUCCAGGUAAAUCCGGUUCACUUUAACACUGAGGCGUGA
rnacentral:rRNA from 1 species